UACAGAGGGUGCGAGCGUUAUUCGGAAUUACUGGGCGUAAAGCGUGCGUAGACGGUAGCGUAAGUCAGAUGCGAAAGCCCCGGGCUCAACCUGGGAAUUGCAUUUGAGACUGCUCUGCUCGGGUGCGGAAGAGGGAAGCGGAAUUUCCGGUGUAGCGGUGAAAUGCGUAGAUAUCGGAAGGAACACCAGUGGCGAAAGCGGCUUCCUGGUCCGACACCGACGUUCAGGCACGAAAGCGUGGGGAGCAAACAGG
rnacentral:rRNA from 1 species